AGAGUUUGAUCAUGGCUCAGGACGAACGCUGGCGGCGUGCUUAACACAUGCAAGUCAAGGGGAAAGCCUGCUUCGGUGGGUGAGUAUACUGGCGGACGGGUGAGUAACGCGUAGGCAACCUGGCCUUAUGUUCGGGAUAACUCUGCGAAAGCGGGGCUAAUACCGGAUGUGGUCAACCGGUCGCCUGACCGGUUGAUUAAAGCUGCUUUUUCGGAGGUAGCCAUAGGGAUGGGCCUGCGUCCCAUUAGCUAGUUGGUAAGGUAACGGCUUACCAAGGCGACGAUGGGUAGCUGGCGUGAGAGCGUGAUCAGCCACACUGGGACUGAGAUACGGCCCAGACUCCUACGGGAGGCAGCAGUGGGGAAUAUUGCGCAAUGCCCGCAAGGGUGACGCAGCGACGCCGCGUGGGGGACGGAGCUCUAAGGAGUGUAAACCCCUGUCAGAGGGGAAGAACGGCCAUAUUUCGUAAGGGAUGUGGUGUGACGGUACCCUCAGAGGAAGCUCCGGCUAACUCCGUGCCAGCAGCCGCGGUAAUACGGGGGGAGCAAGCGUUGUCCGGAAUCACUGGGCGUAAAGGGCGUGUAGGCGGGCAGACAAGUCAGAUGUAAAAGGUUACGGCUUAACCGUGAUUGGUCAUCUGAAACUGUUUGUCUUGAGUGCGAGAGAGGGGUGGUGGAAUUCCCGGUGUAGCGGUGAAAUGCGUAGAUAUCGGGAAGAACACCGGAGGCGAAGGCGGCCACCUGGCUCGUUACUGACGCUGAGGCGCGAAAGCGUGGGGAGCAAACAGGAUUAGA
rnacentral:rRNA from 1 species